rnacentral:tRNA from 1 species
GCCGUACAAGCCGAAAUGGUGAGGCACCUGGCUUCCACCCAGGAGAAUCGGGUUCGAUUCCCGAGUACGGCU